rnacentral:rRNA from 1 species
UACGGAGGGAGCUAGCGUUGUUCGGAAUUACUGGGCGUAAAGCGCGCGUAGGCGGCUUUGUAAGUUAGAGGUGAAAGCCCGGGGCUCAACUCCGGAACUGCCUUUAAGACCGCAUCGCUUGAAUCCGGGAGAGGUGAGUGGAAUUCCGAGUGUAGAGGUGAAAUUCGUAGAUAUUCGGAAGAACACCAGUGGCGAAGGCGGCUCACUGGACCGGUAUUGACGCUGAGGCGCGAAAGCCAGGGGAGCAAACGGG